rnacentral:rRNA from 1 species
AACGAACGCUGGCGGCAGGCCUAACACAUGCAAGUCGAACGCCGUAGCAAUACGGAGUGGCAGACGGGUGAGUAACGCGUGGGAACAUACCCCUCGGUUCGGAAUAACUCAGGGAAACUUGAGCUAAUACCGGAUACGUCCGAGGUUUUAAUCGGCCUUGGAGAAAGAUUUAUCGCCGGAGGAUUGGCCCGCGUCUGAUUAGCUUGUUGGUGAGGUAAUGGCUCACCAAGGCGACGAUCAGAGCUGGUCUGAGAGGAUGAUCAGCCA